GAUGAACGCUGGCGGCGUGCCUAAUACAUGCAAGUCGAGCGAACGGACGAGAAGCUUGCUUCUCUGAUGUUAGCGGCGGACGGGUGAGUAAUACGUGGAUAACCUCCCUAUAAGACUGGGAUAACUUCGGGAAACCGGAGCUAAUACCGGAUAAUAUUUUGAACCGCAUGGUUCAAAAGUGAAAGACGGUCUUGCUGUCACUUAUAGAUGGACCCGCGCUGCAUUAGCUAGUUGGUAAGGUAACGGCUUACCAAGGCAACGAUGCAUAGCCGACCUGAGAGGGUGGUCGGCCGCACUGGAACUGAGGCACGGUCCAGACUCCUACGGGAGGCAGCAGUAGGGAAUCUUCCGCAAUGGUCGGAAGCCUGACGGAGCAGCGCCGCGUGAGUGAUGAAGGUCUUCGGAUCGUAAAACUCUGUUAUUGGGGAAGAACAUAUGUGUAAUUAACUGUGCGCAGCUUGACGGUACCUAAUCAGAAAGCCACGGCUAACUACGUG
rnacentral:rRNA from 1 species